rnacentral:misc_RNA from 1 species
AACUUCUAUGACUCACCUGAAGAGUUAAUUAUCCCGGGCUACAAGGGGGUGACAACCUUAGCCCAAAGAUCAACCUCCAAGACUAGGGUUUUUCUCUCGUCUUCAUCGGAUCAUUGUUUGACUGCUUGGAGAUGUCAAAGUCUUGCAAGGGCUUGGCGAUGGAACUAGUUAAGUGUCUAAGUGAAUCCGAUUGUGUUAAGGUUGAGAAGCGAUCGUAUAGGGAAUGCGCAGGAGAGAAGAGCCCCUCUAUACCAAGUGAGUGCGUCGGACUUAGGGAGACUUACUUCAAUUGCAAAAGAGGCCAGCUUGACAUGAGGGCUAGGAUUCGCGGUAACAAGGGCUAUUGAAUAUGAGCUCGCUGAUAUUGGGAUUUAUAUUUUGGAACUGAUUUACUCUGUUUUUAGGGCCUAAUUUUCUAUCUCUUUGAGGAAUGUGUUAGUGCUUUUUAUUGUAUUCCACCAUUUGUAAGCAGAUAGUCA